UACGUAGGGGGCAAGCGUUAUCCGGAUUUACUGGGUGUAAAGGGAGCGUAGACGGCUUUGCAAGCCAGAUGUGAAAGCCCGGGGCUCAACCCCGGGACUGCAUUUGGAACUGUGUGGCUAGAGUGUCGGAGAGGCAGGCGGAACUCCUAGUGUAGCGGUGAAAUGCGUAGAUAUUAGGAGGAACACCAGUGGCGAAGGCGGCCUGCUGGACGAUGACUGACGUUGAGGCUCGAAAGCGUGGGGAGCAAACAGG
rnacentral:rRNA from 1 species